rnacentral:lncRNA from 1 species
GUUCCGGGCGCUUUGCCGGGCGUUAAUGGCGGCCAACAUCGCCGGUGCUGCGGCUUUCUCCCUAAAGUGUCACAGGAGCUAAGGGCGCUGCUUAACGAACUGCAGAAGACGCAGGCAGGUGAAGGACACCGGUUCUGCUGCGGCAGUGGAAUGUGGCGGAGAAGCUGGCGGGUAGGGCGGGGAGCAAGCCUGGAGGUCCUGGCGGACCCCACCAUUCGACAGGGCUUGGUGUGUUAUUGCUUCUAGGCCUUUUCAGCGGACAGAACUGGGAUGGAUACACACAUGCUUAUUUGAAAUCAUGCGUUUGUUCCAUACUCCAAUGUCAGCCCACCCCUUCUUUGCCCAAGUUGCUCUAUGGUCAAGUGAGCGAGAGCAGGUGCCUGCAUUUCCAGCCUCGUGGCUCACCGCCUCCUUCCAGUAGUCCCAUGUUGCUUCACACCUCUUAAGUACAUGUACUUCUGUGAACCCAGAGCCUUGGCUUUGAAAUCAGACAACCCCAGUUUCAAACGUGGCGCUGCCACUCACGAGUUUUGUGAUUUUGGCAUACCCCUGUCUGCAUGGGGAUAAUAACUUCUAUCUCCAUAGGUGUGGUGAGGAUAAAAGUCUAUGCAUGGAGGAAAUGUUCAUUCAGUGGUAGCUAUUUCUAAUUCUGUUCUUCUGGACCUAUGAUUCUAUCUACGAUGCCUCAUUUUUUUUCCUUUUUAAUCAAUUGGCAAACUUGUGCUCUGAGACCCAGCUUGUUACAUCUCUGAUGACAGCUGAUAUCCUCAGGAUAUUCCGUACUUCCUUUCUCCCUAUUACUUUACUAUGAAUAUAUGAAUAACAUUGUGCUUAUUGCAUGCAACAAAUAUUUAUUAGAUGAAUGACAUUAAAAUUCACCUUUAAAAUGCCAUCCUUUAUGAGAGGUGAGAAAUAGAACUUUUCCUUCGACAUGGCUGUACAUGUUCAACAACUAGAAUAAAACAGUCAUCAUGAACCCUCAAUCCAGUAUUCUUUUUAUAAUAUAGCUGCCUGUCAGUUUUCACUGUUCUUUUAUUAGACCAGUGAUUUUCAAACCUUUUUAAAGGCAUACAGUGCUUUAUUCAAAUCUAAUCUUAUAUGGAACCCUCAACACAUAAAUAUUAAGAUAAAAAUAAAGCUGCCAUUGUUGCAAUUAGAAGUUUGAGAGGUUAGAAUAGGUAGGAAGUCUCGGAGGAACAUUUCUUCGUUUUACCUGCUUUAACAGUCAGAGAAGUACCUCAGCCAGCAGAAAAAUUUAUUUGUUCAUAAAUUCCUUGAGUAUAGAGUCCGUAUCUUAUUUUUGUGGCCUCCAAUGCUAGUGCUGUGCAGUUUUCUUGAAAGUGCAUUUUAUUGGUCUCAGCAAAUUGAACUCAAGCAUUUCUGUGUUCUUUUACUUUUCCUCUUUGUGGAAUUAAGGGGAUUGCUAAUUUGUAUUUUUAAAGAAAGAACAUUAUUCCGGGCGCGGUGGCUCACGCCUGUAAUCCCAGCACUUGGGGAGGCCAAGGAGGGCAAAUCACCUGAGAUCAGGAGUUCAAGACAAGGCUGACCAACAUGGCAAAACCCCGUCUCUACUAAAAAUACAAAAAUUAGCUGGGCGUGUUGGCACGCGCCUGUAAUCCCAGCCACUCAGGAAGCUGAGGCAGGAGAAUCGCUUGAACCCGGGAAGCAGAGGUUGCAGUGACAGAGAUCGUGCCACUGCACUCCAGCCUGGUGAGAGCAAGACUCUGUCUCAAAAAAAAAAAAAAAAAAUUGGCAAGUUUGGCCCUAAAAUUUAUAUGAAAUGAAAAGGAACCAGAAUAAAAGGAUUUCGAAACAGAAAAAGAUGGAGAACUUCCACUACCUGAAUUCAAAACUUAUUAUAAAGCUACAGUAAUGAAGACUGUAAUACUGGCAUAGAGGCAGAUAUAUCGAUCAAUGGAAUCAAAUAGUCCACAAAUAAACCUUUACAUUAUGGGUCUUGCUGUGUUGCCUAGGCUGGGGUGCAGUGGCACGAUCUCAGCUUACUUCAACUUCCGCCUCCCAGGUUCAAGCGAUUCUCCUGCCUCAACCUCCCGAGUAGCUGGUAUUACAGGUGCGCACGACCACACCCGGCUAAUUUUUGUAUUUUUAGUACAGACAGGGUUUUGCCACGUUGGCCAGGCUGGUUUCAAACUCCUGACCUCAAGUGAUCUGCCUGCCUUGGCCUCUCAAAGUGCUGGGAUUAUAGGCAUGAGCCACCGCACCCGGCAACAUUUUCUUCUAGUAUUUUUCUAUGUCUCUUCUGAUUUGAUUUUCAUAAUUGAGAUGAAAUUAUAUAAUUUCGUGUCUCAUUUUUCCAUUUACAUACAUAAGCAUUUUAAAAUAUUAUCAUGAAUUUUCUUAAGCAUCAUACUUAAUGAUGAACAUAGUACUGUAAAGUACCCAAGUUAAAAUAAUUUUUUCUUUUACCUUAAAAAUAUGUUAUUGAGGAAUAAUUUGCAAAGACUAUACUGCAUCUAUUUAAAGUAUGCAAUUUUAUUAAUUUUGACAAUGGUGAUCUUAUCUUUUUUUUAAAGACAGGGUCUCCCUCUGUUGCCCAGGCUGCAGUGCAGUGGCACAGUUAUAGCUCACUGCAGCCUCAAGCUCCUAGGCUCAAGUGAUCCUCCCAUCUCAGCCUCCCAAGUAGCUGGGACUACAGGUGUGUGCCACCAUGCCUGGCUAUUUUUAGUUUUUUUUUAUUUUUGUAGAGAUUGAGUCUCACUAUGUUACCCAGGCUGGUCUUGAUCCUCCCGCCUCGGCCUCCCAAAGUGCUGGGAUUACAAGUGUGAGUGACCACACCCAGCUGGUAUUCCUGUCUUGAGGUUUAUUUUAUCUUAUGUUAAUAUAAAAACUUCAGCUUUCUUAGACUUUUUUUUUUCAUAAAGGUCUAUUUCAUUAUUGGUGGGUAGCGCAUUUAACAGUUAAAUACAUUUAAAUAAUGUAUAGGUGACUGCAGGACUGCAGCAUUGGUAACUAGAUAACCAAUUCAACUAGAAACCAGCUAACAAAGAACUGUCUAAAUACUUAAAAUACAGCUCUUGUUGAGAUCAUCCUUUGUUUUGAUCAUCUUCUUGGGGGAAAAAAGCCUGCUGCUGGUCACAAUGGAAAUAUAUUAAGGCCAAAUCUUCUGAUAUCCAUUCCCAAAGGUUUCUUUCAGCUGGAUUAAGCCUCCAACUCCAGGGCGAGCCCAACCUUGUGGCCUCCAGCAUUAAUGCUCUUCCCGUCUACCAGAGCAGAGAGUGUAAGCUUCACACCAGGCCUCAGAGUCUGAGUAUAGCCUACUCCAAUUAAGCUAGAGUUGUUGACUUUUGCAGAAAUGGAAGCAGUGGGAUCCAACUGAUAUUUAGCUGCAAUGCCAAAACGAGUGCAGUUGGUACCUGAUGUCCAAGCAAGGUUUACUGAAGUGUCAAGAUCUUCACAAACUUUCUGAUAAAUUGAUCCUCCAAAUUCUGUCCCAUCAUUGACAUUAGUGUGUAGCUGGAAGUCCCCAGUCCUGUAGCCCACUGCAAAGUUAUUCCUUGUCAGCUUUGAUUUGGCACUGUCAAAGGUCAUCUGGUAGCCAGCAAGCCAGCCCUCAUAACCAAAGACAGCUGAACCAUGGAUUGCAGGUCCAGCAAAAUCAAAGUCAACAUCACAACCAAGGUUUAUACACUCCCUCUUGUAAGACUUGAUUUUACCACUUUUCUUUCCUGUGUUUGGUGAGAAGGUAGUAUCAAAUGUCAGUUUCAAACCUUGACAAAUCUGGUCUUCAAUUGCGAUUUCUGUUCCCAGAGUGUUAUCAGUGUUCCACUUUUCUGUGAAAGUCAGACCAUACUCACACCACUUGUAUUUGGUCUCCAGGGUCCCAGUAACUUUACCAGUGUCUGUAUUAGAUGAACCGGACGUUGAAAAUUCCACGCCACUGCAAGACUUUGUUUUCACAUCCAGUUUCACCAACCCAAAACCAAAUCCUUUGUUGAAAAUAUCUCUGGCAGCUUUGCCAAGGUCAGCAUAUGAUGGAGGAAUACACAUUGGACGCGCGCAAGUCUGUCCGUGGGUCGCCAUGGCGAGGCCGCGGGAAGAGGGGAAUCUGGUGGUCUCCUGAGCGGGGCCGCCGCCACCGCUCCGCUAGCUGCUGAAGCCGCUUGGCACGCUCGCGGUCGGGCUGCAGCUGCAGCAGCUGGAGGGCGAAGUGAAGGGCUUUCUUAGACUUUUUGUUUACAUGGUUUAUUUUUUCUUCCAUUUACAAUCAACCUCUCUGUGCCAUUUAUUUAUUUAUAAUUGACAAAUAAUAAUUGUAUAUAUUUAUGGUGUACAACCUGAUGUUUUGAAAUAUGUAUACACUGUGGAAUAGCUCAAUCAAGCUAAUUAGUGUAUGUAUUACCUCACAUAUUUAUCAUUUAUUUGUGGUGACAGCACUUAAAAUUUACUCUCUUAGCAAUCGUCAAGCAUACAAUACAUUUUAUUAACCAUGGUCACCAUAUGGUGCAAUAGAUCUCUUGAACUUAUUCCUCUUGCCUAACUGAUAUUUUGCAACCUUUGACCAACCUCUCUUAAUUUGCCUCUCAUUCCCCCAGCCUCUGGUAACCACUAUUCUACUCUGCUUCUGAGUUAAAUUUUUUGAGAUUUCACAUAUAAGUGAGAUCAUAUGGUAUUUGUUUGUAAAAGGAGUCUAACAAGCUAUUGGCUUAAUGAAAUUACAUUAAACUGGCUUAAUCAAAAUACAGAAUUUGUUGACAUGUGGCUGAAAGGUUUAGGAGUAGACCUCAAGCAUGGUGUGACCAGGGACUCAAAUAAUGCUAUUAAGACGCAGUCUCUCUUCUCCAUCUCAUGGCUACGUUUCCACUGUGUUGGUUUUAUUUCAGGCAGGAUUUACUUUGAGGUGGUAAGACGAUGUCAGCAAUUCUCCAUCCUAUAUCAUUCUAGGUUCUAAGUUACUUGAAGAGAAGUAUUUUCCCAUGACUCAUUAUGAUUAGAUAAGGCUCUAAUCCAUUUUGAUUUGAUUUUUGUAUAUGGUGAGAGAUAGGUAUCUAGUUUCAUUCUUCUGCAUAUGUUCUUGGCACCUUUGUUGAAAAUGAGUUAACUGUAGAUGUAUGGAUUUAUCUCCGGGUUCACUAUUCUGUUUCAUUUGUCAACAUGUCUGUUUUUAUGCCUUGCUGUUCUGAUUACUACUGUUCUGUAAUAUAAUUUUAAAAAAUUUUUUUGAGACAGGGUGUCGCUAUGUUGCCAAGGCUGGUUUCAAACUCCUGGGCUUAUGCAAUCCUCCUGCCUCGGCCUCCCAAAGUGUUGGGAUUACAGGCAUGAGCCACCAUGCCUAGCUCUGUAAUAUAAUUUUAAGUCAGGUAGAACAGAGGGGACAAGAGUGCAGGGGUUCACAUGCAGAGUCAGAAAGGGAAAGAAGAAGCAAGAAAUUCAGACUCCAUGUGUUUGAGAGAUCAAGAAAGACUAAAAGCCAGUCUGCAGCAAGCACUUUGGAGAGUGAAUCUGAGUGGAGAGUAACGUGGAGUGUCAAGAGAUGUGCAGAAAAUCCAAAGAAGUCUGAGGACAUUGUGUGCAUCAAGAAAAGAAGAACCAGAAGUCACUGGGACAGUGAUGAUACUUAACGUAGAAAUCUAAGUGGGAAAAAUAUAACAAAGUUAGUUUUGUGAUUAAAAAAAUUUUAAGUCAGGUAAUGUGAUUCCUCCAGUUUUGUUCUUUCUGCUCAGGCUGGCUUUGGCUAUUCUGGGUCUUUUGUGGUUCCAUAUACAUUUUAGGUUUUUCUUUUUUGUUUUUUGUUUUUUUUUCAAUUUCCAUGAAGAAUGUCAUUAGGAUUUUGAUAGGGAUUGCAUUGAAUCUAUAGAUUGCUUUGGGCAGUAUGGACAUUUUAACAAUAUUGAUUAUUCCAAUCCAUGGACAUGAAAUAUCUUUCAAUUUUUUGUGUCCUCUUAAAUAUCUUUCUUUUUUUUUUUUUUUUUUCUUUGGAGACAGAAUCUUGCUCUAUCACCCAGCCUGGAGUGCAAUGGCAUGAUCAUAGAUUACUGCAGCCUUAUACUUGGAACUCCUGGGCUCAACUGAUCCUGCCACCCCAGCCUCCCAAGUAACUAGGACUACAGCUGUACACCACCAUGUCCAGCCAAAUUUUAAAAUCUUUUGUAGAGACAGUGUCUCACUAUUUUGCCCAGGCUGGGAAUUUAUUUCACCAAUGUUUUAUAGUUUUCACUGUAGAUAUCUUUCACUUCUUUGGUUAAGUUUAUUCCUAGUCAUUUUAUUUUGUUUGUAGCUAUUGUAAAUGCGAUUCCUUUUUAAAUUUUUUUUCAGAUUGUUCACUGUUGGCAUAUAGAAAUGCUACUGAUUUUUGUAUGUUUGAUUUUGUAUCCUGCAACUUUACUGAAUUUAUCAAUUCUAAUAAUUUUUGAUGGAGUCAUUAGGUUUUUCCAAAUAUAUGACUAUAUCACUCGCAAACAAGGAUAAUUCGACUUUUUUCUUUCCAAUUUGGAUGUUCUUUAUUUCUUUCUCUAUCUCAUUGCUCUAGCUAGGACUUCCAGUACUAUGUUAAAUAACAGUGGUAAAAGUGGGCAUCCUUGUCAUGUUCCAGAUCUCACAGGAAAGGCUUUCAGUUUUUCCUCAUUCAGUAUGAUGCUAGCUGUGGGUCUAUCAUAUAUGGCUUUUAUUGUGUCGAUAUAUGGUCCUUCUAUACCAAGUUUUUUGAGAGUUUUAUCAUGAAGAGAUGUUGGAUUUUAUUGAAUGCUUUUUCAGCAUUAAUUGAAAUGAUCAUAUGGCUUUUGUCUUUCAUUCCGUUGGUAGAUCACAUUGAUUGAUUUGCAUAUGUUGAACCAUCAUUGCAUCCCUUGGAUAAAUCCCACUUGGUCAUGAUGAAUGAUCUUUUUGUUACGUUGUUGAAUUUGGUUUGCUAGUAUUUUGUUGAGGAUUUUUGCAUCAAUGUUUAUCAGGAAUAUGGGUCAGUAGCUUUAUUUUUUUGAGGCACCUUUGUCUGAUUUUGGUAUCAGGGUAAUACUAACCUUGUAGAAUGAGUUCAGAAGUAUUCCCUCCUCCUCUAUAAUCUGAAUAAGAUUGAAUCUGGAAUAAUCUGAAUAAGAUUGGUACUAGUUCUUCUUUACAUAUUUAGUAAAAUUCAGCAGUGAAGCCAUCGGGUCCUGCGCUUUUCUUUGCUGGGAGACUUUUUUUUAUGGCUUUAAUCUCAUUACAUGUUAUUCAUCUGUUCAGAUUUUUUAUUUCUUCAUGGUUCAAUCUUGCUAGGUUGUAUGUGUCCAGGAAUUUACCAAUUUCUUCUAAAUUUUCCAAUUUAUUGACAUAUAGAUGCUCAUAGUAACCGCUAAUGAUCCUUUGAAAUUCUGUGGUAUCAGUCUUAAUGUCUCCUUUUUUAUCUCAGAUUUUAUUUAUUUGGGUCUUCUCUCUUUCUUAGUCACAUUAACUGUCUGUCAGUUUUGUUUUUCUUUUCAAAAAAUCAAGGUCUUAUUUCAUUGAUCUUUUGUAUUUUUCUCAUUUCAAUUUGAUUUAUUUCUGCUCUGAUGUUAACUAUUUCUUUUCAUCUACUAAUUUUGGGUUUUGUUUGCUCUUGCAUUUCUACUUCUUUAAGAUGCAUUGUUAGGUUAUUUGAAGUUUUUCUACUUUUUUGAUGUAGGCACUUAUUGCUGUAGGCUUUCCUUUUAGUACUGCUUUUGCUGUAUCCCAUAGAUUUUGGUAUCUUGUGUUUCUAUUUUCAUUUGUUUUAAUAACUUUUUAAAUUUCUUUAUUAAUUUCUUCAUUGACUCACUGGUCAUUCAGGAGCAUAUUAUUUAAUUUCCAUGUGUUUGUAUAGUUUCCAAAAUUCCUCUUGUUAUUGAUUUCUAGUUUUAUUCCAUUGUUGUCAGAGAAGAUACUUGAUAUUAUUUUCAAUUUUUUUAAUGCUUUAAGACUUGUUUUGUAGCCUAACAUACAGUCUAUCCUUGAGAAUGAUCCAUAUGCUGAGCAGAAGAAUAUGUAAUCUGUAGCUGUUGGAUGAAAUGUUCUAUGCCUAUCUAUUGGGUCCAUUUGGUUGAUAGUGCAGAUUAUAUCCAAUAUUUUUUGUUGAUUUUCUGUCUGGAUAAUCUGUCCAGUGCUGAAAGUGGAGUGUUGAAGUCUCCAGCUAUUAAUGUAUUGGGGUAUAUCUUUCUCUUUAGCUCUUGUAAUAGUUGCUUUAUAAACCUGGGUGCUCCAGUGUUGGGUGCAUAUAUAUAUAUACAAUUGUUAUAUCCUCUUGCUGAACUGACUCCUUUAUUAUUACAUAGUGACCUUCUUUGUCUCUUUUUAUAGUUUUUGUCUUGAAAUCUACUUUGUAUAAUACAAGUAUAGCUACUCCUACUCUUUUUUGGUUUAACCUUUUCAAGCUCACUAAUUUGUUCUACUUGAUUUAUCCUGCUGUUGAGAGACUCUGAUGCAUCCUUCAUUAGGUCAAUUGCAUUUUUCAACACCACAAUUUCUGCUUGAUUCUUUUAAGUUAUUUCUAUCUUUUGUUUAAUUUAUCUGAUAGGAUUCUGAAUUCCUUCUCUGUGUUAUCUUGUAUUUUGUUGAGCUUCCUCAAAACAGCCAUUUUGAAUUCUCUAUCUGAAAGGUCACAUAUCUCUAUCUCUCUGGAAUUGGUCACUGGUGCCUUAGUAAGUUCAUUUGGUGAGGUCUUGUUUUCCUGGAUCAUUGUGAUGCUUGUGGAUAUUUGUCAGUGUCUAGGCAUUGAAGUUAGGUGUUUAUUGUAAGCAGUCUGGGCUUAUUUGUACCCACCCUUUUUGGGAAGGCUUUUCAGGUAUUCAAAAAGACUUGGAUGUUGUGAUCUAUGUCUUUGGUCACUGUAGCCAUGUCUUCUUUAGGGGACACCCAAGCCCAGUAACAUUGUGAAUCCUGUAGACCUAUAGAAGUACCUCCUUGAUGAUCUAGGUAAGAUCCAGGAGAAUUCUCUGGAUUACGAGGUAGAGACUCUUGCUCCCUUCCCUUUUUUCCCCUAAACAGAGUCUCUCUCUCUCUCUCUGUGCUGAGCUGCCUGGAGCUGGGGGAAGGGUGACAUAAGCACCCCUGUGGCCACCACCACUGGGACUGUGCUGGGUUAAACCCGAAGUCAGCACAGUACUGAGUCAUUCCCAAGGCCUGCAGUGACCACUGCCUGGCUACUGCCUAUGUUCACUCAAGGACCAAAGGCUCUACAAUCAGCAGCUGGCAAAUCCAGCCAGGCUUGUCCUUUCCUUCAGGGCAGCAAGCUCCCCCCAACCCCAGGUGGGUCCGGAGAUGCCAUCCAGGAGCCAAAGCCUAGAGUUGGGAACCUGAGGAAUCUAUCUGGUACUGUAUUCUACUGUGGCUGCGUUGGCACCAAAGCCACAAGACAAAGUCCUUCCCAUUCUUCUUUUCCCUUUCCUGAAGCAGGGGAGUCUCUCCCUAUGGCCAAAACUGCCUCAAACCCACAGUAAAUACUGCCUGGCUACCCCUGAUGUUCAUUCAAGUCCCAAGGCGUCUUCAAUAAGCUUUUGAUGAAUGCUGCCAGGCCCGAGUCUCUCCCAUCAGGGCAGUGGGUUCCCCUCUGGCCCAGGGCAGGUCCAUAAAUGCUGUCCAGGGGCCAACACCUGGAACUGGGGACCCCAAGAGCCCACUUGUUGCUCUACCCCACCAUGGCUGAGCUGGUACCCAAGCUGCACGACAAAGUCCCCUUUACUGUUUUCUUUCCUUUCCUCAAGCAGAAGGGGACUCUCCCUGUAGCCACCACAGCUAGGAAUGUGUUGGGUCACACCUGAAGCUAGCAUGGCUCUGAGUUUCACCCAUGGCUCAUGACAAGUACUGUCUGGCUACCACUGCUAAUUAUUCAGGGCCCAAGGACCGUUUAGUCAGCAAGUGAUUAAUUCUACCAGGGAUGGGCCCUUCUCUUCAAGGUAGUGGGUUCCCUUCUGGCCAAGGGUGUGUCUACAAAUGUUGUCUAGGAAAUAGGGCCUGGAAUGGGGACCUCAGGACUCCACCUGGUGCCCUGUCCUGCUAUGUCUGAGCUGGUACCCAAGUUGCAAGACAAAGUCCUCUUUACUCUCCCCUCUCCUCAAGCAGAGGGAAGGAGUGUCUCCUGGAGCUGCCAGCUGUGCUCCCUGAGGUUGGGGGAAAGGCGAUGCAAGCACAUUAUUGGCUGCCCCAGCUGGUGUCUCACUAUGUCACAUGCAUCCCAAGUCCACUGGCUCUAAGCCCAGCACAGCACCAAGACUUGCCCAGGAAUUGCAGUCCUUGUGGCCUAGAUUUCCUUUCAAUUAUAUUUAGAACCCCAGAGCACUUUAGCCGAUGGUGGUGGGCCUUGCCAGAACUCAGGUGCUGACUGCUGGGUUGGACUAUUUUCCUCUGGCUAGGACUGGCCUAAAUGCUUCCUCUAUGGGUGGCUGCUAGGUUCUGCCCCAUGUAGCUUUCUACUGUGACAGGACAGCACUGAGUUCCAACAAAGUCUCACAAUCACUGCAAUCUCCCUCCCCCAAGGGCACAGAGUCUCCCUCUGCACUAUAUGGCUGCUGCUGGGGGAUGAGAGAUGGGUGUUAUAGGUGAUUCAAGACUGUCUUUCUUACUUUCUUCGGUAUAUCUUUUCUUAAUGUAAUAUUAAAGCCAGGUACUGUGAUUGCUCACCUGAUUUUUGGUUCUUAUGAUGGUGCUUUUUUGUGUGGAUAAUUGUUCAAUUUGGUGUUCCUGUGAGGGGACAAUUGCUGGAGGUGUCUCUUCGGCCAUCUUGCUUUAUCUCCUCCUAGUCCUCACUCUUAUUGUCCAGAUUUGGGCCACAUGCUCAUCAUUGGACCAAUCUGUAGCCAAGGGGUUGGGAGUUGCUUAUUGAUUUAGGGAGCAUCCCGAGCCUCAAACCACAAGGAUUGAGAAGAGAAGAGGGGUGGCUCUCUGAGGGCAUUCUGGCAUGCUGUUUUCCCAGAAAAAUGGUGAAUGGAUGCUGAGAAGUAAAACCAACAGCUGUCCACUACAUACUAAUUCUUUAUAAACAGUGUUAUGCAUGUUUAUCCUGCAGUAGCCAUUACCUUAUAAUUAUUGCUGACUUAUUUAGUAUUACUUUGAGUAACACUUUUUAUCUAGUAACAUAUGCUAUAAAAAACUGUAGUAUUUUAAAAUGCCUUACUAAUACUCAGAAGUUGAGAACCACUGUCCAACGGGUUGGUUUGAUAUAUUUGUUGUUACAGUUGAUCUCCCAUCUAUGUCUUACCAUCCCCACCCACACCUUUUAAUAUUGUCUACAAAUGUCUAUAACAAUAUUUAAUCUAUUUUUCAAGAUUAUUCAAAUUACUGUCAGCUGUUCCAUGAUCAUGUCUGCAAAGUUUUAUUACAAGACGUUGCAGUUUAUCUUGACAUUUGAAUUCUGCCAUGAUAAGCUUCAAUUUCAUCUUUAAAAUAUACAUUUUACUGGCCGGGCGUGGUGGCCCACGCCUGUAAUCCCAGCACUUUGGGAGGCCGAGGUGGGCAGAUCAUGAGGUCAGGAGAUCAAGAACAUCCUGGCUAACAUGGUGAAACCCCGUCUCUACUAAAAAUGGAAAAAAUUAGCCAGGCGUGGUGGUGGGCGCCUGUAGUCCCAGGUACUCGGGAGGCUGAGGCAGGAGAAUGGCAUGAACCCAGGAGGCGGAGCUUGCAGUGAGCUGAGAUGGCACCACCGCACUCCAGCCUGGGCGACAGAGCGAGACUCUGUCUCAAAAAAUACAUAUAUAUGUGUAUACAUUUUACCAACAUCUAUUCACUCAUUGCUUAUAAUGUAGCAGCCACAAGACUUGGGGGGCAUAUGGAUGGAUCCCCAUCUCUGGCUCCAAGAGAUGUCUCUGGUUUAAUUCAAUCAGGGUAAUUCCAUCUCCCUUGCAACAGUCAUGUUUAGGUAAUCUAAAUAUAAACAGGAGUUUUGAGACAGAGUCUCGCUCUUCACUCCCAGCUGGUGUACGGUGGCAUAAUCAUAGCUCACUGCAGCCUCAAACUCCUGGGCUCAAGUGAUCCUCCCACCUCAGCCUCCUGAGUAGCUGGAACUACAGGCACAUGCCACCAUACCCGGCUAAUUUUUUGUUUUUUUAAUUUUUAGUAGAGGCAGUGUCUCACUAUGUAACCCAGGCUGGUCUCAAAUUCCUGAGCUCAAACAAUCCUCAGCCUCCCAAAAGUGCUGGGAUUACAGGAGUGAGCCACUGGCCUGGCCUCAUUUUCAUUCCUCAUCCAGAUGGUAUUUUGUCCCUACUUUCAUUGAAUUUACAGUGUAGUUUAGAGAUAAGAUAUAAAAAUAAGAAAAAUAAAGUAAUUUCCCCAGAGCAUCCCCUCUGAAGCUUUCUCACCCUCCUUGCCCUGCUCCCUUAUGCUACCUUCUCUGCUCCCAUGGCAAUUUAGGUGGUGAUCAUGGAAGAAACCUCCAAUAUCGACAGGAGACUGUAGUUUCAACUCAAUUUUAAUACCAAUACAUUUGAGCAUGCAUUGUUAGUUCUGUCUUUAGAAGUUCAUGCUGUUGUGUGUGUGUGCAUGUGUGUGUGUGUGUGUGUCUAUAUAGCUAUAUUUUUGUUAGUCAUUUUAGUAUUGUGGAUCAAAAGAUCAUAAUGAUUUAUUUUUAUUAGCAAAGUUGGAAGUUUUUAUAGAUAAAACUUUAAGAAAUAAUGGGUCGGGCGCACUGGCUCACGCAUGUAAUCCCAGCAGUUUGGGAGGCCGAGGCGGGUGGAUCACCUGAGGUCAGGCGUUUGAGACCAGCCUGACCAACAUGGUGAAACCCUGUGUCUACUAAAAAUACAAAAAUUAGCCAUGCAUGGUGGCACAUGCCUGUAAUACAAGCUACUUGGGAGACUGAGGCAGGAGAAUUGCUUGAACCCAGGAGGCGGAGCUUGCAGUGAGCCGAAAUUGUGCCAUUGCACUCCAGCCUGGGCAACAAGAGCAAAACUCCUUUCCCCCCAGCCCCCCCAAAAAAAGAAAUAAUGAAGAAUGUGUGCAAAGAUUUAGCUGCUAAAGAUUGCUCUUAAAAGUGUUUUCAGAAAAAUUUUAUAGAUGUUUAUUAAUGUUUUAUAGCAACAUUGCAAUAAGCAUCUUUAGUAGUGAAAUCUUUGUGUACAUAAGUAUUUCCUUAGGAUAUAAAUUCCCAGAAGCAGAAUUUUUUUAUGUACACAUUUUUAAGGGCUUUGCUCUCUGCGAUAAGCACCUUAACUUUCUAACUAAUUUUCUUGCCUCUGGCUUCCCUCCGUCUCCAUUCUGAAUGUCUUAUGCUGGUAAAUUUAUCUCCCUAAAACACUGUGUUCAUCAUUUCACAUACUUGCUGAAAAUCCUUCCUUACUCCUUCCUUGCUGGAGCCCAGUUCCUUGCCCUGACAUCUGAGGACUCUCACAAUCUGCCUCUGCCGUGGAUUUCUAGUCUUCCCUGGCACCACUCCCCUACAUGAACCUUCCAUUAUAACUAAAUUCAUCUACUCCCUCUCCUCCCUUACGCCAUGCAAUUUCCCAUCUUUACAAUUUUGUUGAAUUUAUUACUCCUGUAAUAAAGGGGGUGGGGAUCAUAUAAUAAAGGAAAUGUUAGGAUUAGAAAUGAGUAAUAUCGCAACCAUCUAUGAACCUUUUCCCCAUCUGCUUUUCUCCACCUCAGCCCAAACUAUGGAGUUGUCCUAACCUCAGUGCUAAAAAUAUCAAAGUGUUUUCUGCUGAUACUCCCUCCCUUCCCAUUCAGCCCCUGACCCUCCCUGGGCUGAGGCCUAUGCCACCUUUCCACCAUUUUUACCUUUUUCCCUCUCUCCUGAGGUGGCUAGGUUCAACUUCUUUUGCUCAGGACUAUCUCUACCAGAUUCUUUGCUCCUCUGUUCCCUGUUUGUAGCCUUCUGUGUUACUUUUUGCUCAUUGUUUCGAAUCUUCCUUGUUUCUGCUGUCAUUCUCUUCUCUCUCUUUUGGUAUGCUUUCUUGUUUUGUUAUGUUUCCCAUAUCUCAGCUUGGAGCCUCUUAGUUCUUGUGCAGAGAAAAAAGGCUUCACAGUGCCAAGAGCACGCCUUUCUGUCAUUUUCAAUAACUACUUUCUCAGUGUCCAUUAAUCAGAACAUGCUUUUCCAUCCUUCUAGGCUCAUGUUGUCAUUGCUUUCCUUCUUUUCCGUUCCUUCCGUAAAUAUUUUACAGCUGUUCCUGAUACUUGAAUGCCCUGAUCUCAAAAUAACAAAGACCUAAGCCUCAGUGAAGGAAUUUUAAUCAGUUGGGAUGAGCUGAGAAGAUAAUGUAAAAUAACUACAAAAGGUUUAGAGAGAGUAAAAUAUAUUAUUUGCUUAAUAAGGUUUUUCUAGCAUCAGUUUUGGUUUCUACAGCACAUCACUUAAAGAAGCAUGAAAGUGAUAUAUAUGGGAUUGAGGAAAAAAUAAAUAUAGCAUACAUAAAUUCUCAAGUGUUAUUAGAGUAAGAGGAACUGAUAUAAAUAAGCUUAAAGUUAAAAGGCUUACAUAAAGUACAACCAAAUUGUUAACAACUCUGAAAUUGUGACAGUUGCUAAUGAUAAAGGGAGAGUUCAGAAAUAAAAACACGUAAUUUGGUUAGAGAAUUUAGAUCUAAUCAAAGAAGACAUAUAUAUAUAUAUAAUUCUCAGACAGCACAGACAAAUAGAUUUUUAAAAACAGUUUCCUUAACUUCAUUUGGCUGUCUGGGGUUGUUAUUCCCAUUAAGAAACCAAUUCAAAGAUAAAAUAAGAGAUAAAAGUUAGACUUUUUAAUACAUUAUAGGUUUUUCUGAGAGUAGAGUCAAAUGAUGAAGCCCUAUUUUGUUUUUUCUUAGCAAAUAGAAUUAUUUUUUAUAUUAUGUCAAUUUGUAGUAAUUUGAAUUUAGACAUUAUAUACAAUAAAAUAAUUAUUUUCAUUUGUUUCUAUGUCCUUUGUUCAUGGAAUCCUGUUUGAAAUGAAAAGGAUUUUGAAAUCAAUAUAGCAUAAGACAUACAAAGACAUAAAAAUGUGAUUUGGUAAGAGUAAAAGGAGAGAGAGAAAAUGAUCAAGUAGAAAAAUACCAUUAUCAAUAUUUUUAAUAUUCUCACUGUUCAAACAUCUUACAGGAUUAACUAAUAAUUUUUCAAAGCUUCUCAUUGUCUUUUAGGUAAAGUUACCUGCAAGCACUAUUUUCUUUGGUAUUUUGAAUUAUUUUAUCAAUUUCCUUUUGGAAAUUUGUAACUCAUUUACUUCUGUUUUUUAAAAAUAGCUUUAUUGGCUCAUGCCUGUAAUCCCAGCAUUUUGGGAGGCCAAGGUGGGCAGAUCACAUGAGGUCAAGAGCUCCAGACUAGCCUGGCCAACAUGGUGAAACCCCAUCUUUACUCAAAAAAAAAAAAAAAAUUAGCUGGGCAUGGUGGCAGGUGCCUGUAGUCCCAGCUGCUCGGGAGGCUGAAGCAGGAGAAUCACUUGAACCCAGGAGGCGGGGGUUGCAGUGAGCCGAGAUUGCACCACUGCACUUCAGCCCGAGUGACAAAGCACGACUCCGACCAAAAAAAAAAGUUAUUAAGAUAUAAUUUGCAUAUCAUGCAACUCACCCAUUUAAAGUAUACAAUUCGAUGACUUUUAGUAUGUUCACAGAGUUGUGCAACCAUCACCACAAUCUAUUUUAGAAUAUUUUAUUACCCCCAAAUGAAACCACAUACCCCUUAGCCAUCACCCCUAACUCCCCCAUCCCCUGAGACCUAGGCAACUACUAAUAUACUUUCUGUCUCUUUAGAUUUGCCUGUCCUGGACAUUUUUUUUUUUUUUUUUGAGAUGGAGUUUUGCUCUUGUUGCCCGGGCUGGACUGCAAUGGUACGAUCUUGGCUCACUGCAAUCUCUGCCUCCCAGGUUCAAGCGAUUCUCCUAUCUUAGCCUCCCGAGUAGCUGGGAAUAUAGGCAAAUGCCACCACGCCCAGCUAAUUUCUGUAUCUUUAGUAGAGAUGGCAUCUCAUCAUAUCGAUCAGGCUGGUCUCGAACUCCUGACCUCAGGUGAUCCUCCCGCCUUGGCCUCCCAAAGUACUGGGAUUACAGGCAUGAGCCACUGCUCCUGGCCCUGUCUUGGACAUUUUAUAUAAAUGGAAUAAUAUACUAUAUGGCUCCUUUUCUGACUGGCUUCUUUCACUUAGUGUAGUGUUUUUAAAGUUCAUCCAUGUUGUGGUAUGUAUCAGUACUUCCUGUCUUUUUAUUGCUGAAUAAUAUUCUAUUGUAUGAGUAUACCAUAUUUUAUUUAUCCAUUCAUCAGUUGAUGGACAUUUGGGUCAUUUCCACUUUUUUGCUGUUAUAAAUAAUGCUGCUGUACAAGUUUUCAUAUGGACAUAUGCUUUUAUUUCUCAUUUCUCUUAUAUAUAUCUCUAGUAGUAGAAUUGCUGGAUCACAUGAUAACUCCAUGUAUAACUUUUUCAGGAACUGCCAGACGAUUUUCCAAAGUGGCUACACUUUAUACACCAGCAGUGUAGAAGGGCUCCAAUUUUUCCACAUCCUUGUCAACACUUGUUAUUAUCUAUUUUUUUAUUAUAGCUAUCCUAGUAAGUGUGAAGUGGCAUCUCAUUGUGGUUUUCAUUUACAUUUACCUGAUAUACAUUACCUAAUAGCUAAUGGUAUUGAACAUCUUUUCAUGUGUCUUCUAGCCAUUUGUGUGUUUUAUUGAGAGAACUGUCCAUUCAGAGUCUUUGCCUAUUUUUAAUUAGGUUAUUUGUCUUAUUAUUAUUAUUAUUCUUGUUAUUUGAGACAGGGUCUCACUCUGUUGCCCAGGCGGGAGUGCAAUGGUGCAAUCUCAGCCCACCACAGCCUUGACAUCCCAGGCUCAGGCAGUUCUCCCACCUCAGCCUCCCGAGUAGCUGGGACUACAGGUGCAUGCCACUGUGCCUAGCUAAUUUUAUUUUUUGUAGAGGUGAGGUCUCACUAUGUUGCACAGGCUGCACUCAAGCAAUCUUCCCACCUUGACCUCCCAAAGUGCUGAGAUUACAGGCGUGAGCCACUGUGCCUGGUCUUGUCUUUUUAUUAAGUUUUAAUAGUUUGUUAUAUAUCCUAGGUAAAAGUCCCAUUAUCUAUUUUAUUUUUUGUUGCUCAUGCUUUAGACAUCAUGUUUAAGAAACCGUAAUAGUUUCACAGUUUAGCUCUUAUAUUUAGGUCUUUGAUCCAUUUUGAGUUAAUUUUUGUAUAUUGUUUUUUGUAAGAGUCCAACCUCAUUCUUUCGUGUGUGACUAUCCAGAUGUCCAAGCACCAUUUGCUGAGAAGACUAUUCUUUCCCUGUUGAAUUGUCUUAGCUCCUAUGUCAAAAAUCAACUGACCAUAAAUGUAAUAGUUUAUUUCUGGACUCCUAAUUAUAUUCAAUUGACCUCUCUAUCUAUCUUUAUUCCAGUCCAUAUUGUAUUAAUUACUGUAGCUUUGUAGUACAUUUUGAAAUCAGGAAAGGUGGGUCCUCCCAUUUUAUUAUUCAUUUUCAAGAUUGUUUUGGCUAUUCUGAGUCCCUCGAAUCUCUGUAUGAAUUUUAGGAUCAGUUUGUCAAUUUCUGCAAAGAAACAAACUAGAAUUUUAAUAGAGAUUGAGUUAAAACUAUAGAUCAAUUUGAGGAGGAUAGAUCUCUUAACAAUAUUAAGGCUUCUGAUUGAUGGCUAUGGGAUAUCUUUCCAUCCAUUAAAUGUUCUUUAAUUUUUUUGAACAAUGUCUUGUGGUUUUCAGAGUUGUGGUCUUACACUUCUUUUGUUAAAUUUGUUCCUAGAUAACAGUUUGUUUUCAUUUGUAGAUUCGGAAUUGUGAAUUUGCCUAUUUGCUAAAAUUUAUUUGCAACCCCAAAAUCAAUACUUGCAGCAAUUUUACAGUCAUUUGGGGACAUGCACAGAACAAUGAAAAGUUUGAGUGACCUGACACCUGACUGAAGUCAACUGCCUUUUUUUUUUUUUUUUCCUGUCACCCAGGCUUUAGAGUGCAGUGGUGCCAUCAUAGCUCACUGUAACCUUCUGGGCUCAAGCGAUUCUCCUGCCUCAGCCUGCAGAGUAGCUAGGACUACAGGCACAUGCCACCACACUUGACUAAUUUUUUAUUACUUUGUAGAGACAAUUCUCACUCUGUCACCCAACAACCCAACCCAAGUGUUGAGGUCUGAGACAAAGUUUGUUGCUUAUUUCCCUCUCCUUCCCCUAAGUGGAGGGUAUACCUGGCCACACUAUGCUGACUGAGGUUGAGGCAGGGGUGAUGUGGAUCAUGCAAAACUGUCCUUCCUACCCUCCUCAAUAUGUCUUUUCUUAUUUCUUUUUCUUUUUUCUUUUUUUUUUUUUUUUGAGACAGAGUCUCACUCUGUCGCCCAGGCUGGAGUGCAGUGGCGCCAUCUUGGUUCACUGCAACCUCUGCCUCCCAGGUUCACGCCAUCCUUCUGCCUCAGCCUCCUGAGUAGCUGGGACUACAGGUGCCCACCACCAUGCCCAGCUAAUUUUUUGUAUUUUUAGUAGAGAUGGGGUUUCACCAUGUUAGCCAGGAUGGUCUCGAUCUCCUGACCUCGUGAUCCACCUGCCUCUGCCUCCCAAAGUGCUGGGAUUACAGGAGUCUUUUCUUAUUUCUGCACUACAUUCGGGUGCUGUAAUCUCUCACCUGGUAUCCUUAGUGCUUGUGAAGGUAUUUUCAUGCAUGGACAGUUGUUCAAAUUGAUGUUUCUGUGGGAAGCAAGUGUUGGAAUGGCCCAUUUUGCCAACUUACUGAUGUCUAGACCCUGUCUUCUUCUAGGAAGAAAGAUGUUUGAGCAGGCAAGAGGAACAGAUGCACAGGUCACCAUCCAGAAGCCCACAUGCAUGCAAUCCCAACAAUUUCUUUGUAUUGAAUUAUGUGGGAUGUGAAUUAGUAGCAACCAUAAUCACUUCACUUCAGUGAGUUAUUAGUUACCUCCUUGGGUUUGGCUCUUUAUUUUGAAGAUUUAGCCUUUAGUGGCACAUGUGUGUACUACAGAGGGACAGAGCAUUUCUUUGUAAACUUAGAAAACCUACGAACAUCGGGAAAUAUUUUCAAAUUCAAGGGAAAAAACUUAAGUAAACCAAUAGAUUAAAGAAAAUGAGGACGGGUACAGUGCCUCACUCCUGUGGCUCAAUCCCAACACUUUGGGAGGCUGAGGUGGGCAGAUCACUUGAGUCCAGGAGUUCAACACCAGCCUGGGCAAACACGGCAAAACCCCAUCUCCUCAAAAAAUUAACCAGGCAUUGAUGGCCCAUGCCUGUAGUCCCGGCUACUGGGGAGGCUGAGGCAGGAGGAUUGCUUGAGCUCAGGAGGUUGAAGCUGCAGUGAGCUGAGAUCAUGCCACUGCACUGCAGCCUAGGUGACAGAAUAAGAUUCCUGUCUCAAUAAAUAAAUAAAUAAGGAAAUCAGAAAAUCUACAAGCUGUACUAAUGCUUAGUUCCUGAAUGUUGGCCAACAAUGAAUAAUUCAGGACAUCCAAAAUACAGUAAACACCAAAAACUUACUCGACCACUCUCCCAUUUCAGAACAUGAAGCAUACUGAAGUAGAGACGGCAGGAUUUUCUCAUGCAUGGAAUAUGGGAUGUGAAUGAAAACAGAAGGAUCACUUGAUGGCUGCGGACCUGAGCAACUGGAGGGAUGGAGUUGCAAUUAGGUGAAGUGAGGAAUUCAGCAGGGGAAGCAAGUUUUGGGGCAGAAGAUUUUAUCAGGGAUAUUUUAGUAAUUAAAUAGUUAGAUUAGUGUCUUAAUCACAACUCCACAUCCUUACCUGAUUUGGAGCUUCUGUCAGUCUCCCAGCUCUGAGCUGCUUCAGGCUGGGAAGCCGACAGUCGGGGAGAAGUCAUGGAUAGCUUCUGGUCCUCUUUUCCCACUGUGGCUGUCCUCCUCUUCCCCGGCCCUCACUAUGUUGUCUCCAGCUCCUCUUCUGGGACAGGAAGGGACAGAAAGAUCUUACUGACAGGUACCCCAUGAAGGUACCCCCUAGGGGAUGGAGAUCCCAGGGCUUCCCCUCCUUGAGUCCCUCAGAGAUUCCUGGUAAUGCCUCUCAUCUGACUGCCAUUUUGACCGCUCCCUGUCAUCUUUCAGGCCACCUCUCUUUUGGGAUCCCAUGGUCUUUCUAGGGAAGGAUCCAAGAGGGACCCAGGAUCCACAUUUGGUCCAUAAGAACCACCCGUACUUUGCCCUGUCCUCAGAGGGCGUGUAGUCCACAUCUAACACAGCCCUCUCUACUCUGCCACCUCUGGCCACUUUGGCCUGGAGAAUGUUUUCAGAACUCAUCUCUGUACUACACAAACUCUAAGGACCUCAAGUCAGAUUCUCCAAGGAGUUCUCUUGAGGUCCUUUCUGUUGCCUACUUAAAGUGACCUGGCAACUAACCAAACAUAUGUGUGUGUGUAUAUGUGUGCAUGUGUGUGUAUGUGUGUAUAUAGACAUACAUAUCUGUACACAUAUGUAUGUGUGUAUACAUAUACAUACACAAUACAUAUAUACAUAUACACACACAUACAAUUAACAGAAGACAUAUGGAUGGAUGGCCAUAGGAGCAUAAUAGUCAUAAUCUGGAAACAAUCCAAAUUUUAAUCAGUAAUAGAAAUGGAUAAAUAGUGGGCCUGGCACAGUGGCUCACAUCUGUAACCCUAGCACUUUGGGAGGCUGAGCUGGGAGAAUUGCUUGAGCCCAGAAGUUUAAGACCAGCCUGGGCAACAUGGCAAAACCCCAUCUCUAGCCAAAAAAACCCACAAAAAUUAGCCAGUUGUGAUGGUGCACACUUGUAGUCUCAGCUACUACUUGGGAGGCUUAGGUGGGAGGAUUGCUUGAGGCUGGUAGGUGGAGGUUGCAGUGAGCUGAGAUCCCACCACUGCCCUCCAGCCUGGGUGACACAGCAAGACCUCGUCUCAAAAAAAAAAAAAAAAAAGAAUGGAUAAAUAAUGGUAGCAUAUUUUUUAAUGCAAUUUUUUAAAAAAGAAUGAACUACUACCACAAUGUGGGUAAAUUUCACAGGCAUAUGUUAAGUCAAAGAAACAAAAUACAGGCAGGGCAUAGUGGCUCACGCCUGUAAUCCCAGCACUUUGGGAGGCUGAGGCGGGCGGAUCACAAGGUCAGGAGAUCAGGACCAUCCUGGCUAACACGGUGAAACCCCAUCUCUACUAAAAAUACAAAAAAUUAGCUGGGCAUGGUGGCAUGCGCCUGUAAUCCC